rnacentral:rRNA from 1 species
UCUGCCAGUGUGCAUACGCUCUUUUUAAAGAUUAAGCCAUGCACGUGAAAGUUCAUACAUUAAAAAUGUGAGACUGCGGAAGGCUCAGUAAAUCAGUUAUAAUCUGCUCGAUUGUAUAGGUUAUUGGAUAACCGUGGGAAAUCUAGAGCUAAUACAUGUAAUUGGGAGCGGUUUCGGCCGUCUCAUGGCAUUUAUUAGACAAUUACCAAUCGCGGGGCAACCCGUGUGGUGAAUCUAGAUAACUUAGCAGAUCGUAUGGCCUAGUGCCGGCGACGUUUCGAUUGAAUUUCUGCCCUAUCAACUAUUGUCGGUAGUGUAGUGGACUACCGAGGUUUUUACGGGUGACGGGGGAUCAGGGUUCGAUUCCGGAGAGGGAGCCUGAGAAACGGCUACCACAUCCAAGGAAGGCAGCAGGCGCGCAAAUUACCCAAUCCAGACAAUGGGAGGUGGUGACGAAAAGUACCAGAUGACGGUCAAAGACUGUCAAUCUGGAAUGGAAUCAAUUUAAGCAAUUGAUUGAGGAACGACUAGAGGGCAAGUCUGGUGCCAGCAGCCGCGGUAAUUCCAGCUCUAGUAGCGUAUCCCAAAGUUGCUGCGCUUAAAACGCUCGUAGUUGGAUCACAAACUAUAUUCGAGUUGGUGUGGUGCUGUGUCAAAUUUAAAGAUUUUCCGGGGUGUCAUCAUUUCGGAAAUGAUUUAUGUGGUGCAGUGUUACUACCGUAAGCUAGUGUAUAGUAAUUGCACGUGAGGAUAGACAUUCGCCUUGAAUGAGUAGAUGUUUGUGUCUCACGGAGUGUGCCUUGAAUAAAUCAAAGUGCUUAAAGCAGGCUUUACGCUUGAAUGUUAAAGCAUGGAACGAACAAUCGUGUAGGGUGCAUGUUGAUUUAUGGGUGCAGGGCCCAGCUCUGCAUUCAUCAACAUGUGACACCGACCACCAAUAACGGAUGUUGGUUCCGUAUUGGGGUAUUGAUUAAGAGGAGCGGUUGGGGGCAUUGGUAUUUGGCAGCGAGAGGUGAAAUUCUUGGACCUGUCAAGGACUAACAAAUGCGAAGGCAUCUGUCCAGACCGUAUCCAUUAAUCAAGAACGAUAGUGAGAGGUUCGAAGACGAUCAGAUACCGUCCUAGUUCUCACUGUAAACUAUGCCGACCCGGGAUCAGUUUGGAGCUUUAUUCCAUGCUCGGAGUUGGUCCCCCUGGGAAACCUAAAGUUUUUCGGUUGCGGGGGGAGUAUGGUCGCAAGGCUGAAACUUAAAGGAAUUGACGGAAGGGCACCACCAGGGGUGGAGCCUGCGGCUUAAUUUGACUCAACACGGGAAAACUUACCUGGUCCGAACAUCCGAAGGAUACACAGACUAAUAGAUCUUUGUUGAUGGGGUGAAAAGUGGUGCAUGGCCGUUCUUAGUUCGUGGAGU